rnacentral:rRNA from 1 species
AUGGAGCCUCUGAAGCGUUUGACUUGUGUGAGGGAAGAAAAUGGCAACCGUGGGCGCGAGUUUGUGAAAUGCUUGAGCAAACCACAGCCGGGGCAGGUUCUGAAGAAAUGUGGGCAUUUUGAGUGGCUCGAUGACUAUGUUGAAAGGUUGAAAUUGGAGGGAUCAACCGAACCCAAGAGCUCAAUUUCGGGGGGCGGCUUGCCGUGGAACAAGCCCCCAAUUUGGCGGACAGAGCCGAUCUGA